CGGACAGUGGCGCAAUCGGCAGACGCCCACGCCUUAAAAGCGAUGAGCCCGCAAGGGAUGUCGGUUCGAAUCCGACUUGUCCGACCA
rnacentral:tRNA from 1 species